UCAAAGACCAAAUAUAACGUCCCAGAACACUCCAGCUCACAGGUGAUUAACAGGAGGAGAAGAGUCUGGUGGUGCAACGGAGGAACAAUUUCAUCCAUUUGGACUCAGCUCAGUCACUACGGAGGAAACAAUCAAUGACUUCAACACAAAAGGACCAACAUGGAGCGAGAAGUCAGCGCUCUCAGGAGGCCGA